CUACUCACAGCUAUUUUACAUGAUUAGUAACGGAUCCUUAUGUACCAUCACGGUAUUACAGUGUCCCAGUUAUCUGGACCACUCCAUAGUCACUUUCAUCGUAUCUAGAAUUUAUCCUCGGGCGGAUGUGUUUCUGUGUAAAUGCCUGGAUAUCCGACCCUACUUUACCGGGAGUCAUUCUUUCUAGUUGAGCUGACCAGACGGGACCUCUCUGCAAUAUCAACAACAAAGAAAUUAUUGUGUUUUUUGUUGUGAUAAAACACUAAACUCAGACCAAUGAGGGUUCUUACGAUUGUGAUUGUGUGCUUGGCUGCUGUACCGACAUGGGCUAGUGGCAUAGGCUGGUGGCAUAGGCCGGUGCCGGGACGACUUAAUCGACGUCAUUCUGUGACACGGGAUCACAUCAAUAAGCAGAAGCCGAUUAUUAGCAAGGAUAACCGGCCCAUUGACGUCCAAAAGAAGAGUAGCCAAUGCAAUCGACGCUUAAAAGGACCUCAAGGACCACCAGGACCACCAGGACCACCAGGACCCCCUGGCAAUGAUGGACCCCCUGGACCUAAGGGCGUAUUUUGUCGAUACGGUCGACUCAGAAAUACAAAAGGAGAAAAGGGGGCACCUGG